UUAAAGUGAGCAAUCAUUAAGUUCUCCAAAUCCUUUUUUACACUAUUGCAAAAUCUUUCUUACACUGUAUGGCAUUUUCUGGCUUGACGGUUCAAGCAGCCUUAGCAUGAACUGUCUUAUCUCCUGUUGUGUCAGGCUGACAGAUUUGUUGGAUAUAUUAAAAAUCAAAUGUAGUUAUAUAACUUUGAAAUAUGGUAUAUAUAUAUACUGAACUGAGGGACAAUGUGUAUAAAUGAAAACAUACUCUAUAGCAACAAUUUGAUUAUAAGACUUGGCCUCAUGUUACACCACGCAGCUGUUUGUCUGAACUAACAAAGAUUUAUAUACCUCAGAAUGUUGAAGUGGUUGCAACAGCAAGUCAAUUUGACCAUUCUUCUCUCUGUUAAAUUCUUCUUAAAGCUAUUUUAGCACUUGGAGGAUACUAAAAUCUAGAGAGAUAAAUUGAGUUAGUAAAUAAAACCUUUUUUAUAAGCAUACUAUUGUCACACUCCAGGUUCUAUUCGGGUGCAGGCCAGGUUUUCUCUCUCUCUCCUCUGCAGGGAUGGACGGGCAGGUGCACUACAUCUGAGCUGAUCACCACCCUUCUUAAGGAGCUGGAAGCAGGAGGAGGGCGUCAGUUCCCUAACGCCACAGCGUUGAACCCUUGUUUCUGACCCCUGGACCCAGCCGUGAACCAUAGACCUUGGACCCUCCGCCUGAAAGAUAACCAGGAACCCGAGAAGGAUCUCGGGUUAUCCACCGUUCAGCCCUCCUACCUGCGAUCACCUGCCUGUCCACCCUCAAACCUCCAACCAGGGAGAGAGUACUGGUCAGCACACGGACCACCGGGGACACUUCCCCCCCAAGACCGGACCACAGCCUCUCUACAAAGCCCAGAAGAACCUGACCAGACCAUACAGCUUCCAGUUCACGUCCACUAUCUUAUUUUUCAAUAAAACCUCUUAAACCUUCUCCUGCCUCUGUAGUUGCUCUCGUCCAGAGUUACCUUCAAUUAUGACAACUAUAUGUUUUAUAGAUGUAUACUACAUAAUUUGUAUUCUGCACAGAGGUUUCUGUUCACUAUAACAGUCACUUAGUUAUGA